GACGAACGCUGGCGGCGUGCUUAACACAUGCAAGUCGAACGGAAAGGCCCUGCUUUUGGGGGGUGCUCGAGUGGCGAACGGGUAAGUAACACGUGAGUAACCUGCCCUUGACUUUGGGAUAACUUCAGGAAACUGGGGCUAAUACCGGAUAGGAGCUCCUGCUGCAUGGUGGGGGUUGGAAAGUUUCGGCGGUUGGGGAUGGACUCGCGGCUUAUCAGCUUGUUGGUGGGGUAGUGGCUUACCAAGGCUUUGACGGGUAGCCGGCCUGAGAGGGUGACCGGCCACAUUGGGACUGAGAUACGGCCCAGACUCCUACGGGAGGCAGCAGUGGGGAAUAUUGCACAAUGGGCGGAAGCCUGAUGCAGCAACGCCGCGUGCGGGAUGACGGCCUUCGGGUUGUAAACCGCUUUCGCCUGUGACGAAGCGUGAGUGACGGUAAUGGGUAAAGAAGCACCGGCUAACUACGUG
rnacentral:rRNA from 1 species